AACGCUAGCUACAGGCUUAACACAUGCAAGUCGAGGGGAAACGACAUCGAAAGCUUGCUUUUGAUGGGCGUCGACCGGCGCACGGGUGAGUAACGCGUAUCCAACCUGCCCACCACUUGGGGAUAACCUUGCGAAAGUAAGACUAAUACCCAAUGACGUCUCUAGAAGGCAUCUGAAGGAGAUUAAAGAUUUAUCGGUGAUGGAUGGGGAUGCGUCUGAUUAGCUUGUUGGCGGGGUAACGGCCCACCAAGGCAACGAUCAGUAGGGGUUCUGAGAGGAAGGUCCCCCACAUUGGAACUGAGACACGGUCCAAACUCCUACGGGAGGCAGCAGUGAGGAAUAUUGGUCAAUGGGCGAGAGCCUGAACCAGCCAAGUAGCGUGCAGGAUGACGGCCCUAUGGGUUGUAAACUGCUUUUAUACAGGAAUAAAGUUAGCCACGUGUGGUUAUUUGUAGGUACUGUAUGAAUAAGGACCGGCUAAUUCCGUGCCAGCAGCCGCGGUAAUACGGAAGGUCCAGGCGUUAUCCGGAUUUAUUGGGUUUAAAGGGAGCGUAGGCCGUCUGUUAAGCGUGUUGUGAAAUGUAGAUGCUCAACAUCUGAAUUGCAGCGCGAACUGGCAGACUUGAGUGUGCGCAACGUAGGCGGAAUUCGUGGUGUAGCGGUGAAAUGCUUAGAUAUCACGAAGAACUCCGAUUG
rnacentral:rRNA from 1 species